AAGUCGUAACAAGGUUUCCGUAGGUGAACCUGCGGAAGGAUCAUUAACACGUUCCAAACGUUAAACCAAACCCCUCUGUGAACUAAAUGAAAACAAAUCCAACCCGGCCUCGAGCUGGGCUCUGGUACUUAACCAAAAUCCUGGAAGUUCACGCUUCUGGGUCGCUGAAAGGCAUUCUGAGCGCUUCACGGCGAUCGGGGUGUCCCUCUGCGUGCUGCUCGGCUCCGUCGGGUGGCGCGGCCCUUUUUCUCUCACGAGGAAAGGUGUCCAGCGCAGACAGCGUCCAACCCAACCAAACCCUUGAACCUAACUAUCUGAAACCCCUAACUGGACGGACACCGCAAGGCGUCCCAAAAGUUAACAAAACAAAAAACAACUCUUAACAACGGAUAUCUUGGUUCUC
rnacentral:misc_RNA from 1 species